rnacentral:rRNA from 1 species
UACGAGGGGGGCGAGCGUUGUUCGGAAUUACUGGGCGUAAAGCGUGCGUAGGCGGUGUCGAAAGUCAGAAGUGAAAGCCCCGGGCUUAACCCGGGAAUUGCUUUUGAUACUUCGAUGCUUGAAUCCGGAAGGGGUUGGCGGAAUUCCCAGUGUAGAGGUGAAAUUCGUAGAUAUUGGGAGGAACACCAGUGGCGUAGGCGGCUAACUGGUCCGGCAUUGACGCUGAGGCACGAAAGCGUGGGGAGCAAACAGG